rnacentral:snRNA from 1 species
AUAUUUACCUUGUUAAUUCCUAAUUAAGCUGUUACUAAUAUUCAUUGCACUUGGGAGGGUGUCCAUCUAAGGUCGGCCCAAGUGGUCGAGCUUAUGUCAUAAUUUAUGGCAAUGGGGACCUA